CCAAUGCAUUUGGGGGCCUAAGGCGAACUUUCUAAAAAAAGGCCUUUUUAUUUUUUAAUAAUAAAUUUUUUAAUUAAUGUAAAAUACUUUAAAAAUUUAUUUAAAAAUAAUUUGUCUAGCUUUUUGAGAUACAAAAUUACUAAUCAAACGUUUGUACUCAAGAUUCUAAAAAUAAUAUUAUCAAAUAUAAAAAAGUUGAAAAUGAUAAAACUUGAUUAUGUCCAGAGAAACAAACUCAAGUUCUGACGAGCGGUGCCGAACUCGAUGACGAGAAGCGGUGCCGGAGACUGACGGAUGGAGUUGGAGAAGAGGCUGAAGUCGCAACAAGAACACACCUGAAUAGCUGAAAUCUCGAGAAGCAAAAUAAUCCUGAAUUCAAAAACUUGGUGAUGACUGAGUUGUCAAGUAAUUGAAAUACUUAAGAUAAAGGAAGAAGGAUAAGGUUGCUCUAAUAAUUUCCACGAGGAUAUCUUUGUUAUCUAAAAAUUAUAAACAAGCCAAUGUAUGUUAUUGGUGGGUCAGACGGACAGUUCCAUCCUAUAGAAGCAUAAGAAAAUAAACUAUGCUGGAAGAAACAAAUAGUAAUGGCUACAGAAAACUACUGCUUUCCACACAUGCAAGAAAGAGGAGAUGAGGAAGCUGAGGACAUCGACACCACUUAAGUAGAAAGAAAAAUGGUUAAAAUAUUAGAAAUGAGAAAGGGAUUACAGGUAGUCCAUUAACCCAACAGCCUGUAGGAGAAUGGGAGAUAUAUGGGAAACUGGAUAGAUCCAGAAACAGAACAACUCCAAACACAAAAACACCCCAUGUGAUUUUUUUUUUGAUCACACACCACUCCUUCACCAGCAUCCAGAUAUAUCUUUCCUUUCUUCUAUUUUCUUCUACUGAUGCUAUGUACUGAUCCCAUCGGCCCAUCCACCCACAAUUCUAGCACUUGGUGAAUCACUUCUUCCCCAGGUUUUGCCCUCACAGAAUUGGAUGAAAAAUUUUGAAUUUGGCUCUUCAAAUGUUUCUCCUUUCUUUCUUUCUUUCUCUUCUCCUUUGUACACUAUUGUCUACUGUUUGGUGCCUCACAAGUCCAGGAAGCCUGGCUUGCUUCCUUGGUCCAGGCUUUGACAAAUUACAAAUGAACAAAGAAUAGAUCAAAGUAACAUUCAAGAUUUANN
rnacentral:lncRNA from 1 species